rnacentral:rRNA from 1 species
AUUGAACGCUGGCGGCAGGCCUAACACAUGCAAGUCGAGCGGAAACGAAGGGAGCUUGCUCCCAGGCGUCGAGCGGCGGACGGGUGAGUAACACGUGAGAAUCUGCCCAUUAGUGGGGGACAACUCGGGGAAACUCGAGCUAAUACCGCAUAAUCCCUACGGGGGACAGCAGGGGACCUUUUGGCCUUGCGCUGAUGUAUGAGCUCACGUCGGAUUAGCUUGUUGGUGAGGUAAAGGCUCACCAAGGCGACGAUCCGUAGCUGGUCUGAGAGGAUGAUCAGCCACACUGGGACUGAGACACGGCCCAGACUCCUACGGGAGGCAGCAGUGGGGAAUCUUGGACAAUGGGGGCAACCCUGAUCCAGCCAUGCCGCGUGUGUGAAGAAGGCCUUCGGGUUGUAAAGCACUUUCAGCAGGGAGGAGGGAUUUGGCCGAAUAGGUUGAAGUACUUGACGUUACCUGCAGAAGAAGCACCGGCUAAUUUCGUG